CCCGGCGUGGAGUGGAAGCCGGAGAAGACGCAGCCAUGAACGCUUCACCCGAGUCGGGAGAGCGCGCAGAGGGGACCCGCAGGUGGCGAAGCCUAACUGCCCAAGAUGAUGAAAUCCUGACUCAGAAAGGUAAACUUGCUCAAGGUCACACAGUUGUGGCAGAGUCAGGACUUGAACCCAGACACCAGCAUCCAAAGUCUGACCUCUUAACCCCUGCGUGGCCCAGGCUGAGAAUUAAGGGCCAGAUAGAGGCGGAAAGCGACACCGAGAAUCCAUUCCAAACGAGCAGCCAAGAGGAGACGAGGCAGCUCCCAGAUGUUGAUGCUUUGUUUUUUGACAUAAAUCUUUGCACUCAUGUGGGAGUUUUCAUUGAUUCAUGUUCCCAUCUGCUGAAUUUCCUUUUAUUUAUUUAAUAUGGCUUUUUGGGGAAAUCUUGCUCCGAAGCUCUGGAGGGGCAUAAACCGUGGCAACCGCUGCACCCCUCCUCCCUCCUGCCAACCUCGGCUGGGGGAGGGGGGUCGGUGGUGUCCAGAGGGGAGCGCGGCUC
rnacentral:lncRNA from 1 species